UACCGGCCUCUGGGCAGCGGCAGCGGCAGCGGCGGGCCUAGGGGGCGGUUCGUGGCGGCGGCGGCCCUCGCGCUGCUGCGCCUGGGGCGGGGGCUGCGGAGGGGCUUCGCGGCGUCCGUGGUGGUGGCGGUGGUGGUGGCGAGGGUGGCGGUGGCGGCAGGCCUGCUGCGGGUCGGGGGCGGCGGGAGACGCCGGCUGCCUCUUCUGCAGCUCCUCCCCCUCUAUGAUCUGCUACGGCCGCGGCCGCGGCCGCCCCGAUACCUUCAGCUACCGCCGGGGGCGCCCCUGCUGGGGCGUAGAGGCGCUCGGCUGGGCCUCGAUCAGCCACUAGUACGACCGUGGUUGAGCCGGCAACUGCACUGCGUCGGAUCAGUAAGAGGCGGGAGUUUUCUACUUCCGUCCAACUUAGUGUGACGAGCACCGAGACUUUCGCAUCCAUAGAAAAGUCCACUACUCCUAUUAUUACCAUUUCCUGUACUUGUCUCAGUGUCCCACAGUUUCAGAGGUGCCGGCUGUUUCCUGUCCCCUUCCUUGGUACUCCUGCUCGCAGUUUGAGACAGGAGAUUAUUGCUAAGAGUAGUCUCUCUAGUGUGGUGGUUCUCUAGAGGAAGGAGGUCCUUGGUGUAACUUCUCCAAGUAAGAUCCUUAGUGGGUUCCAGGCCUCUUCGACUACGGUUUCGAUUACCAAGCGCCCGUUCAGGUUCCCGACUGGGACUAGCACUGUUGUUGCUGUCCUUACCAAAACCAUCCGUACGUUGAUCCUGUGCCCUUCUGCUGUCUCUUUCCUCGUCGUCAGCACAACAAGCACUACCUGUAUCACUAUCCGCACUAUCGGCCCUUUCUAUAUACCUACUUUCUUCCGUGUCGUCGUAUCUAUCUCUGUUACAACUAGCAUCCGUGUCUCUUUCCUCGUCGUCAGUAUCAUCUGGACUGUCUUCCCUCUCGCGUGUGGUGUGAGCACUUCUUUCGUCCCUCUCCCUUUCCGCUUCACCAUCGAGUUCCGUAUUUCUGGUAGUAUUUUCCCUAUGUUCGUUCCUAGCAAUAUUUCUAAUACAGUGCCAACGAUGACCUGUACUUUCCCUAUUUCACUCUCUACUAUCUCUGUCCCCGGCCGUGUCCCUAUCUCUUUCACUUUGAGCAUCUUCACCUCGACCUCUUGCGUUCCUGUCUUAAUCGUCAUCACUAUCUGUGUUCCUGAGAUGUGCGAGCUUUAUAUCGUGCAGACUACGAGUAUUUCUGUCCAGUUCUAGACCCCUCUUUCCAUCUCUACAUCUGUCGUCUUCGGUAGCUAGAUCUCUUCACUUCCUUGUAAGAAAGUUCCUCCUUCUACUUCUUCUCAUAGUUCUCUUUUAACUCGUUGUCAAUCGUUACGUCCUUCUUCUACUGGGACUUUUUUAAUUCCUCCUUCGCUCCUCUUCCUUUCUUCGAUAAUACCGCUUUAUAUCCGUCGUUGUUCGUGUCUUCGUCGUUGGCCUUAGAAAUGGAUCUUCGUUACUACUUCUUCGUUCUCGUCACCUAUUUCUACUCUGACAUCUAUACUUUCCACUAUUACUAUCGUUAAGAUGCCUGUUGCUCCUUCGACUUUUAUUCGUCCUGAGAAGUCUACGUAAACAACCACUCCGUCUGAAGUUACACCCAUUCAGGGGACGAGUACUACGACAAAAUCGGACACGACUUCGUAACCCGUUACUCCCCUGUUGUCCACAAAGUCCGGAACCUCUCCCAUGAGGUUUCUCACUCUCUAGCCGUCUAUACAAAACACUACUGUAGAAACCUCUCAGUGGACGUCCUAAAGCCUUUAACCCGUUCCCUCUGCCGAACACAUAACUCUUUUUACGAGACGUACUAUUAACCCUACUAGGACUCCCAAUGAUAUGAGUAGCUAAACCCCUUAACAACCUACCGGCAAUACUUUAAUGUCGGCGCGUACCCUUCCCCCACAAGAGUUGUCAGCACGCCCGUUUCCUAGAAUUUCGACCCUUUCUACUAGGACUUCAUCAACGAUAAUUUUAAUAAGCGUUCUUGCUCUGUUACAUAUUCCGACCAUUCGUUCUCCAAAGUUAUAAUCUUUUUAACCGUUCGCGCCUAGCACUCCUGUCCGCGGUGACGCACGCCAAGUAAAGAUCAAAGUACAUGGCCUUGGUAGAAACGAAUCAAAAACUUAGAAAUUUAUACUUAGAGGCACUCCAUGAUUUCUUUAAACCAGCGUUAUAACCCGAAUUUGACUGACGACACUCCCGUAUAAGUUUCGUCGAAAAGUAGCGAGACUUCGUGGACUUUUUGACGUUUCAAGACGUGACACUAUAUUUCGGUCUGUUAUACGACCACUUACUACGAUUCUUACAGGACUUCGAUACGCUAAAACCGUUACGAUACGAACGACCUUACUUACUCCAGUGCGGAAUAGAACAGUCGGCAAAGAUAGCCCGUGGACUCUAGUAAGAACCCAACGGGAUACUAGUGGGUAACCUGUAGACCAGUCAGCCGACGACGGAUAUACUUGAAAGAUGACCUUUCCAGGACAAAGGUCCACGUUGAUUAUUACUAUACGAAGCAGAAGUAUACCUUGACUUCCCGGGGAAGGGAUUCUUCUACGAGGCUUUCCCACGAAAGUGCUACGUUGUGAAACUGGUUCUAGAGUUAAAAUUGCGAUAACUCCUUCUAGGACACUGGUUUUUCGGAUACUCCUUCAACUAAGAAUUGUAGUUUGACUUCCUAAAACCAAGAAACCAAAGUUUAAAAGGACCGCUCCUGGGUUUUUACGAGAGGUUAAAAUUUCUGGAAGAACUUUUUUAUAAACAGAAUCUAGGUCUAUUCUCCUAUUGGCAUAGUGUCCGUGAAUCGGUAGGUAAAUAGUGACCGUUCACUUUUAUUCUACAACUAAGGAGAACUGUAACAUUUGAUGUUAAACCCAAGGAGAACAGAUUAGUAGCCGUAAAGAUAGAACACAGACCCUCGAUACUCUAGACUCACGCACGGUUUACCUGCUUCGUACCCCAACGACUUCUCUACGACAGAAUGCCUGGAACGACGUACGUGAAUGGUAAACCUAUCAAGACAACGAACAUUCUGUUGACCGGCCGACCGUAAUGUAAGACACAUAUGUAAAAGGGUUACUAAAUGUUCUAUAUGUACUUUGACACGGAUUGAAGUAAAUUGUUAACAUGACCGAACAUACAAGCUGGUAGCUCCAAGAUACAUAAAGAUCAUUGACCUCACUGUUUAGAAACGUACACGAACAUUACACCCACAUCGUCCGUGUGAAGAGUAAACACGACGGUUCGUGAGACGACUACAAAUUCGAGCGGACAAAACGUUACGAACCGGAGUCCGUAAAUGAAUGACACGUCACUAGUUACGUGACCAGCAAAGAGUGACGAACUGUUCGAGAAAACUAUAAAAUAAACUAUGUUUUUGUCCGGAAGGAACAAUGAUUAAAUAAAUACGUUAAAUAUAAACCCAAUUUCUAAGAUUAAGAAAAAAAGCAAGUCCCAAAGACGGUCCCGGAGACGACGUACGUGAAUAUAUAGGAUUUCCUGGUUGUCUUCUUCCAUGGGACCAACAAUAGACCCAUUGAACACACAAACUUGUGGUAUAUUGUAAUAAAGGGGGGAUAACUUUAGACUACUAAGACGCUAAUUAAAACGAUCUGCUCAGUACACAUCUACAUCACUAUGACUUCCACGGGACCAACUAUAGACCCAUUGAACACAAACUUGUGGUAUCUUGUAGUAAAGAAAAAGAGAAAACUUUAGACUACUAAGACAGUAAUUAAAACGAUCUACUCAGUACACAUCCGCAUUACUAUGACUUCCACGGGACCAACUGUAGACCCAUUGAACACACCAACUUGUGGAUAUUGUAGUAAAGAAAAAAGAGAAAACUUUAUACUACUAAGACGUUAUUUAAAACGAUUUACUCAGUACAGAUCUGCGUCGCUAUGACUUAAAACAGUUAUAACCUAUAAGUGUACAAGAAUACAACCAGUAGACCAAAGAAGGAAUUAUGGGCAGGAAAGACUUAAAUCGUAAAGAAACGAUAAACCCUACCGAUACCAUGCCGUUUACUUUACGGUUCUUGAGAUUUGAGAAAGUAGGGAUGUAAAACGGUACGGUGGAAAGAGGUGGACAUCCUACUAAUCACUUACCCCGUUAUCCACGCACACUUCACUAGUUUUAUGUUUGUUUACAUCGAACAGUAAAGGAAAAGACACCCUAGCAACUUCAAUACCUAGAAAAACUCUUAAACUACAUCUGACUUUCAGGUGUGACGAUAGAUGAAGACUAUAAGACACGCUUACCCGAACACUACAAGUAGAAAGGAGAUAAUCAACACGAACGAAAUGCUUUUCCCAAGAUUCUUUCAGAAAAGAACAAUACGUGGUGAUAGUGAGGUACACCUUAUAGUCAGUUUUCAAAAAUAACAAAAAUACAAACAACUCCAGGUCCCUACCUCUAAGGACCUACGUGACCCAUAAUGAUGUGGAACAGAACCAUUGGAGAAAGUUGAUCGACCUACACAGUUACAAAGUCAAGCAGUAAUUCUCAGAAAAAGUAUGUUUACAAAAGACAUAUAUCCAGAUCUACAAUAAAACUAGGGAAUGUCAAAUUGCUUGAACCUUAAGUAACAUUCGGUACGAAGAUACAUCUAGGUGUUGUCAAAAAACAAUUUUUCUAGCGUUCAAAAACACCUCUUUGAUUUUACAAUAAAACAUAAUGUUGAGGACAUCGUAAACCGUGAUAGGACGUCACUCUUUAGAUUCAGCAUACAUCGUUUAUUAGACGUACACAGGUUUUUGAAUCGUGUUCAUAUAUAUACGUACAUCGUACCAUCUUCAUCCUGGCUUACGAUCAAAUAAUUGACUCCGUUUCGUAGUAGUGAACAGUCAACGAAGGAGGUAGUUUCAAAAUUCCGGUGAAUCAGACCAAUUCAGUUUUGACAAGAUUUAAGCUCGUUCAAACAUCUUCUUUUAUAGUUGUACAUAUGUUAUGGGUUAUUUAUGUAAUAAUGCUUCUGGAUAAAGUACUGACUAGACCACAAGAAAAAACCCACACAGAUCCCGUGUAUAUCUACACGAGAUCAAUAACGUGUAGAUUCAAUCACUUAGUUCGUAUUUCUCUUUUUCUUUUUGUAUUUCUUUUAUAAGUGUGCUUAGAGUUACAUUGUACACGAAAUCGUUUUGACAAGAAAAAAGAUGUUUAAACCAGUUUGCUUCACCGGAAUUAUUCUCCCUCAUUCUCUUCCGUUUCCGUUUACCGAUCGACAUGAACAGGGUACAGCUAUCUAAGUGCACCGGAAAAGGAUUAAAAUAAUAGACUUUGAAGUAGGACUUCGAGUACGAAUACGUUCGGUAAAAAUAAAAACUGGACUAGUAUAUACGAUAUACGUAUACAUACGUAGUACUUUGUAACCGCUCUAGAUCUUUUAAUUCGUGGAACUACCUAUGUUGGAAAACAGAACCUACUCACGUUAAACGGACUAAAUGAAGGUGAACACAGUCUUUUGAACUGGAACCUGACCUACCAUUCACGAAUCUUUAAUGCUCACAGCAAGACUGAAACACAAAGUGAAAGGAAGAGAAUAAAAAAACAAGUACAAAACUCAUAGGUGGCUGUAAAACUUGGUAGAUAUAAAAUCAUUUUGAUAUUGUACUUAUUUAAUAUAAAUAGACUAAUAAUAUGAAAGAGGCAAAACAUUAAGAACAGCACCAAAAAUCAAUUUUUUACUUGAUUUUAGUACUGGUUUUAAUACCUUGCCUCCCUUAUGAUAAAACGAUUGUUAUCACCGACACACAAAGACCAAUUUUCCAACAAACAUUUAGACUUUUUUUUCCAACAAACAUUUAGACUUCCUUAACGAACAUCCGAUCCAAUAACUGUUCAAUGAGGGAGAAAUUUGUUUACAUUCUGCAAAAUCCAGUGAUGAAAUAUGAGGGAGGUAAGGUUUUAUAUCACGCGGGCGCAAAGGACUCCAGUUUGAAACUGGUAUUUAAAUUGCUUGCUCUGGCUGACGCCGCCCUCUUUUUCAAUGUAUUAAUUUUUGAAGAAAGCUUAUGCUUAAGUGACUAUAUUGAAAACGGGGGCGGCGUUAGCCAGAACCAUCAAUUUAAAUGCCAGUUUCAAUUUCGUGCCCCUAUCUCCUUCGUGGUGUAACACCUUACCUCCCUCAUCACAAGAUUUUACACAAUGUAAACAAAUGUCGCCCUCAUGGUAUACAUCCUACGAAAAAAAAAUCCUUAAAUGUUAAGUACACAAUAAGGACAACAAUGAGCUUCCUAUCUAACGUAAUGUAUUACACGAUUGUCGACAUCACUACGACUAAACUACCUGUUCCUGACAGGCAGGCAGACAAGCAUCAAAAACAGGAAACUUGGAAAAAAGUCCCGUUCCAAUCAACCGACGUACCCACUGUCUUUCACUCUCAAGAGUCGUCGUAGGAACCAUAGGUAGUAUAUAGAUGAUAAGGUUCACGUCACGU
rnacentral:rRNA from 1 species